rnacentral:rRNA from 1 species
UGUGCCUACGGGACGCAGCAGUGGGGAAUAUUGCACAAUGGGCGAAAGCCUGAUGCAGCAACGCCGCGUGAAGGAAGAAGGCCGUCGGGUCGUAAACUUCUGUCCUUGGGGAAGAAGAACUGACGGUACCCAAGGAGGAAGCCCCGGCUAACUACGAGCCAGCAGCCGCGGUAAUACGUAGGGGGCAAGCGUUAUCCGGAAUUAUUGGGCGUAAAGAGUACGUAGGUGGCAACCUAAGCGCAGGGUUUAAGGCAAUGGCUCAACCAUUGUUCGCCCUGCGAACUGGGAUGAUUGAGUGCAGGAGG